CAAAACACACACACACACACACACACACACACACACGAGACACCGGAUGGCUCUUUCUCCCUAACAUAAUUUCUAUACCCCGGCUUUUUCUCCCAGCACACCACCAGGCAAACCUCAUGUCCCUGGCAACUCUUAGAGCUCAGAAAGGUUGCUGACCUCUGGGUAAGAUCAGGGACACCUUACUUGUUGUCUGAGUGACACAUACUUGUGAAAUGCAAACACAUUUUUACCUAGCAAGGGCCAAGUCAAUGAAACAAGAAGCAUUUGCACAACACUCUGUGGAUUUCCCAAGCAGCCACAUAAUAUGUCAUUUCCUCUGAUUUUCACAUACUUUGUGACCUCAAAGAAGUCUCGUGAUCCGAGUUCUGUACCUAGCAAGAGAUGAGGCUGCGACUCUGCCACUCCUAUUGUUUUUGGGGCUGAGGCUAGUCACAGAUGUGCAGUGUGAUAGUUGAUGCUUUCCUUUUUCCUGGCACUUAUUCAAAGGCCCGUGUGGAUGGAUGAGGGUUCUUCCUGGUGACCAUGCUCCAAGACCCUGAGGGAGGUUCCCCAUGAUGGCAGAUCCAGUGUGAUGGAAGCUCAUUCUCCUUCAGGGUGACUUGGAGGCUGCAUUCCUGCUCCCUGGGACUGGCUUCAAUACUAAAGAAAACCACACGAGGGCACUAGAGCCACACUGGUUGACUUCUACCACCUUGGUCAGAUCAUGGCUUCGGAAACUGUCCCCCAAGCCAGAGAUGACACCAGUCACUACAGGCCUGGGAUGCUCCCAAUCAGGAUUCAGCUCCCCUAGGAAAUAGGAGGCCAGAAGCUCCCCGUCACUGGGGAGACCAACAGUUAAUUCAGGCAUGACAAGAUGAACAAUCUCUCCCUGCCCUGCCCUGUUCUUUUGCCUCCUCGGGAUGAGGUUCCUGGAAUCCCAGGAGUCUGGCCACCUCCUACCAAGGCAGGCUGCACCACACCAGGCUCCGAUGGACUCGCCCUGAUGAAUCUAUCGCCCUGAUGAAUCUAUCACCUGUUACCUCUGUGCAGACCAUCCACCCCACCAGGCUCCCUGCUGAACCCCUACUUAUCCCUCAAGGCCCAACUUUCCAUGACUGCUGCAAGCAGAUUCAAUUCCCUCUCAUUUGGGAUCCCACAGCUCCUUGGACUGUUUUUACACACUGGAAACUUCAUGAGGGCAGGGGCUGAGUCCCAUUCACCUCUGUAUCCACCAGACCUGAGAGCCAGUAGGCAUUCAGAUGUCUGCUAAACAAAUUUAUUUAUUU